ACGCACGCUGGCGGCAUGCCUAACACAUGCCAGUCGCACGAGACCUUCGGGUCUAGUGGCGCACGGGUGCGUAACGCGUGGGAAUCUACCCUCAGGUUCGGAAUAACUCAGAGAAAUUUGAGCUAAUACCGGAUGAUGACGUAAGUCCAAAGAUUUAUCGCCUGAGGAUGAGCCCGCGUAGGAUUAGGUAGUUGGUGAGGUAAAGGCUCACCAAGCCGACGAUCCUUAGCUGGUCUGAGAGGAUGAUCAGCCACACUGGGACUGAGACACGGCCCAGACUCCUACGGGAAGCAGCAGUGGGGAAUAUUGGACAAUGGGCGAAAGCCUGAUCCAGCAAUGCCGCGUGAGUGAUGAAGGCCUUAGGGUUGUAAAGCUCUUUUACCCGGGAUGAUAAUGACAGUACCGGGAGAAUAAGCUCCGGCUAACUCCGUG
rnacentral:rRNA from 1 species